UCCGUAGGGUGCGAGCGUUAAUCGGAAUUACUGUGCGUAAAGCGUGCGCAGGCGGUGAGUUAAGUCUGCUGUGAAAGCCCCGGGCUCACCCUUGGAAUGGCAGUGGAAACUGGCUCGCUGGAGUAUGGCAGAGGGGGGUGGAAUUCCGCGUGUAGCAGUGAAAUGCGUAGAGAUGCGGAGGAACACCGAUGGCGAAGGCAGCCCCCUGGGCCAAUACUGACGCUCAGGCACGAAAGCGUGGGGAGCAAACAGU
rnacentral:rRNA from 1 species